GGCAUGGGAUCCAGUUUAGGGGUUUGAGCAUUGGACUAUGACUCUGGAGGCCAAGGUUCGAAUCCCUGCUUGGCCA